UGCAAGUCGAACGAAGUAGCAAUACUUAGUGGCAGACGGGUGAGUAACAUGUGGGUAUCUUCCCUUUGGUGAGGAAUAACACGAGGAAACUUGUGCUAAUACCUCAUAAGUCUUUACGGAGAAAGCUUUAUGCGCCAUUGGAUGAGCCUGCACUUGAUUAGUUUGUUGGUGGGGUAAUGGCCUACCAAGACAAUGAUCAAUAGCUGAUUUGAGAGGAUGAUCACCCACAUUGGGACUGAGACACGGCCCAAACUUCUACGGAAGGCAGCAGUAGGGAAUCUUGCACAAUGGAGGAAACUCUGAUGCAGCGAUGCCGCGUGAGUGAAGAAGGCCCUUGGGUUGUAAAGCUCUUUCCUCGGGGAAGAAAAUGACUGUACCCGAAUAAGAAGGUUCGGCUAACUCCGUGCCAGCAGCCGCGGUAAUACGGAGGAUCCAAGCGUUAUCCGGAUUUAUUGGGUUUAAAGGGUCCGCAGGCGGAAUAUUAAGUCAGUGGUGAAAUCCUACAGCUUAACUGUAGAACUGCCAUUGAUACUGUUAUUCUUGAGUACACCUGAAGUGGGCGGAAUGUGUCAUGUAGCGGUGAAAUGCU
rnacentral:rRNA from 1 species